UUCUAUGAUGACAAUUUGGUAAUGCUUCAGACUCCUGACUGUGUGGGGGGGAAGGCAACCUUAGAGUGCUCAGAGAGAG
ensembl:snoRNA SNORD39 Small nucleolar RNA SNORD55/SNORD39